UGGGGAAUCUUGGACAAUGGGGGCAACCCUGAUCCAGCCAUGCCGCGUGAGUGAUGAAGGCCUUAGGGUCGUAAAGCUCUUUCGCCUGUGAAGAUAAUGACGGUAGCAGGUAAAGAAACCCCGGCUAACUCCGUGCCAGCAGCCGCGGUAAUACGGAGGGGGUUAGCGUUGUUCGGGAAUUACUGGGCGUAAAGCGCACGUAGGCGGACCAGAAAGUUGGGGGUGAAAUCCCGGGGGCUCAACCCCGGAACUGCCUCCAAAACUAUUGGUCUAGAGUUCGAGAGAGGUGAGUGGAAUUCCAAGUGUAGAGGUGAAAUUCGUAGAUAUUUGGAGGAACACCAGUGGCGAAGGCGGCUCACUGGCUCGAUACUGACGCUGAGGUGCGAAAGUGUGGGGAGCAAACAGGAUUAGAUACCCUGGUAGUCCACACCGUAAAACGAUGAAUGCCAGUCGUCGGGUAGCAUGCUAUUCGGUGACACACCUAACGGAUUAAGCAUUCC
rnacentral:rRNA from 1 species